rnacentral:misc_RNA from 1 species
UUAGCCAAAAAAAUAGAAAAUUCUUACUCGUAUUUGAGUGUUUAUACAUUCACCAACCAAAAAAAAUUAUCUAUAUAUUAUUUAUCAUGCUUUUAAUUAAUAUUUUUUAACAUGUAAUAUUAAAACUCUCUAAGAAAUUACAACUUGAAUCCAAAAAAAUAAUUAAACAAAUAAGGAAAUUUAUAUUGUAUAGCUAACAAUAAGCCUAACAAAUCAAUACAACUCAAUCCAAACCCAACUAAAGAUUCGAACUCACAAAUCAAAUUCAUCUCCAAUCUACAAAUCCUAAAUUUACAAGGAAAAGCAUCAAAACAGAGAAGCAUGUAGUCGAUCACUACCAAAACUUGCUACCAUCAGAGAUGUUGAGCAUAAAUCUAAGCCAACAACACAAGGAGCAAUCAUAGUUGUCCAUCAAAACAUAAUAAUUCAACCAAACAGUACCUAACCUCUUAAAUUCCUAAAAAAAACACAAACUCUAACUUUACAACGACAAAAAGGUACUGCUGCAGAGUUUCUUGGCACUCGCAGACCAUCAAUAAGACCUUUUUUCCAAUCGUAGUGUAGAAGCAGAUCUUGGAGAUAUGAAACAACCGAAGCAAGUGAAGCCCUUUUAAUGCGCAGAACAAAACCUAGACCCAAGAGAACAACCCAACAAACCGAACAAAAACCCUCAACCUAAAACCACCAUCUACAACUCACAAAAACAUAAAUAUACACAACCAACUUGUGUAACAGUUCGGCAGUUCCCCAC